rnacentral:lncRNA from 1 species
CGUAGUGGGGCGAUGUGGGGUGGCGAUGUGGGGCAAAGCAGGGUGCUAUGGGGCACAGUGGGGCAAUGUGGGGCACAGUGCGGUGCUAUGGGGCAGAGUGGAGCGAUGCAGGGUUCUGUGGGGCACAGUGGGGCGAUGUGGGGUGCUAUGGGGCACAGUGUGCUGAUGCGGGGUUCUAUGGGGCACAGUGGGGCGAUGCGGGGUGACGAUGUGGGGCACAGUGCGGUGCUAUGGGGCAGAGUGAGGCGAUGCGGGGUGACGAUGUGGGGCAGAGUGCAGUGCUAUGGGGCAGAGUGGGGCAAUGCAGGGUGCUAUGGGGCACAGUGGGGCGAUGUGGGGCACAGCGGGGCGAUGCAGAGUGACGAUGUGGGGCAGAGUGCAGUACUAUGGGGCGGAGUGGGGCGAUGCGGGGUGACGCUGUGGGGCAGAGUGCGGUGCUAUGGGGCACAGUGGGGCGAUGCGGGGUUCUAUGGGGCACGGUGGGGCGAUGUGGGGCAGAGUGGGGUGAUGCAGAGUGAUGAUGUGGGGCGCAGUGCGGUGCUAUGGGGCAGAGUGGGGCGAUGUGGGUUGACGAUGUGGGGCAGAGUGCGGUGCUAUGGGGCAGAGUGGGGCAAUGUGGGGCACAGUGCGGUCCUAUAGGGCACGGUGUGGUGAUGUGGGGCGCUAUGGGGCACAGUGGGGCGAUGUGGGGCAGAGUGGGGCGACGCGGGCUGACGCUGUGGGGCGCGGCGGGGCGCUAUGGGGCACAGUGGGGUGAUGCGGGGUGCUAUGGGGCAGAUUGGGGCGAUGCAGGGUUCUAUGGGGCACGGUGGGGCAAUGCAGGGUUCUAUGGGGCAGAGUGUGGUGCUAUGGGGAAGAAUGGGGCGAUGCGGGGUGAUGAUGUGGGGCAGAGUGCAGUGCUAUGGGGCAGAGUGGGGCGAUGCAGAGUGACGAUGUGGGGCACAGUGCGGUGCUAUGGGGCACGGUGGGGUGCUGUGGGGCAGAGUGGGGCGAUGCGGGGUGCUAUGGGGCACAGUGGGGCGAUGCAGAGUGACGAUGUGGGGCAGAGUGCGGUGCUAUGGGGCAGAGUGGGGCAAUGCAGGGUUCUAUGGGGCAGAGUGGGGCGAUGUGGGGCACAGUGGGGCGAUGUGGGGCACAGCGGAGCGAUGCAGAGCGACGAUGUGGGGCACAGUGGGGUGCUAUGGGGCACGGCGUGCUGAUGCGGGCUUCUAUGGGGCACAAUGGGGCGAUGCAGGGUGCUAUGGGGCACAGCGUCGCGAUGCAGAGCAACGAUGUGGGGCGCGGCAGGGCGCUAUGGGGCAGAGUGGGGCGAUGCGGGCUGACGCUGUGGGGCGCGGCGGGGCGCUAUGGGGCACGGUGUGGUGACGUGGGGGUGCUAUGGGGCGGCUGCGCCCCACAGGAUGGGGGCGACGGUGUUCGUGCAACCGCUGGACCUGGUGAAGAACCGCAUGCAGCUCAGUGGGGCGGGAGCGCGCACCCGCGAGUAUCGCAGCAGCUUCCACGCACUCGGCUCCAUCCUGCGGCACGAGGG